GAUGAACGCUGGCGGCGUGCUUAACACAUGCAAGUCGAGCGAGAAAAAUUCUUCGGAAUUUUUCUAGCGGCGGACGGGUGAGUAACACGUGGGCAACCUGCCUCAUAGAGGGGAAUAGCCUUCCGAAAGGAAGAUUAAUACCGCAUAACAUUAUUGAAAGGCAUCUUUUAAUAAUCAAAGGAGCAAUCCGCUAUGAGAUGGGCCCGCGGCGCAUUAGCUAGUUGGUGAGGUAACGGCUCACCAAGGCGACGAUGCGUAGCCGACCUGAGAGGGUGAUCGGCCACAUUGGAACUGAGACACGGUCCAGACUCCUACGGGAGGCAGCAGUGGGGAAUAUUGCACAAUGGGGGAAACCCUGAUGCAGCAACGCCGCGUGAGUGAUGAAGGUCUUCGGAUUGUAAAGCUCUGUCUUUAGGGACGAUAAUGACGGUACCUAAGGAGGAAGCCACGGCUAACUACGUGCCAGCCGCCGCCGUAAAAC
rnacentral:rRNA from 1 species